rnacentral:rRNA from 1 species
UACGUAGGGUGCGAGCGUUGUCCGGAAUUAUUGGGCGUAAAGAGCUCGUAGGCGGUUUGUCGCGUCGACUGUGAAAACCCGAGGCUUAACCUCGGGCCUGCAGUCGAUACGGGCAGACUAGAGUUCGGUAGGGGAGACUGGAAUUCCUGGUGUAGCGGUGAAAUGCGCAGAUAUCAGGAGGAACACCGGUGGCGAAGGCGGGUCUCUGGGCCGAUACUGACGCUGAGGAACGAAAGCGUGGGGAGCGAACAGG